rnacentral:lncRNA from 1 species
AUGAUGGAUUCCAACACCACCAUUCAUAUUUUAAUGCAAUACCUAACUCCCACUUCAUCUUGCCUAUGAAUUGACUUUGAAUUUGAGCUUCUUUGGAGUGGAUGACACCUCACAAGCAUGUGAAUUCAAUUUCUUCUUGUUUGCUUCCAUCCCAUACUUCUUUUCCUUUCUUCUUUUGGCAUGGGUGUGGCACUUCAUGCAUUCUUUUCUUCUUAUGCUAGUUGCACUUCUUCCUUCAUCAUCAUUGCUUCAUGGAUAUGUUGAAGUUCUUUAAUUGGACACUAGCAUAUUAUCUUUGGGUGGCACACUUCUUGGCAUGCAAAUUGAGUUGGUUUUCACAACACACAAGCUUACAUAGGAAGUCAUU